AAAAAUGAAAACAUACAGGAUCAGAGUAAGAAAAUAAAAGAAUAAGAAAAAAAUACUAAGAAUAAGAAAAGGGUAUAUUAUGAUAUAUAUCGGCUUAGCUAUAAUCACUAGAAUUCCUAUAUACUAAGUAUAAAGAUAUAGAAAUUCUAGUAAUUAUAGACUGUCUUUUUUAAUAAAAAUUAAAAAAAAAUCAAAAUAGACAAAUAGAAAA
rnacentral:lncRNA from 1 species